UUAAAUUGAAGAGUUUGAUCAUGGCUCAGAUUGAACGCUGGCGGCAGGCCUAACACAUGCAAGUCGAACGGUAACAGGAAGCAGCUUGCUGCUUUGCUGACGAGUGGCGGACGGGUGAGUAAUGUCUGGGAAACUGCCUGAUGGAGGGGGAUAACUACUGGAAACGGUGGCUAAUACCGCAUAACGUCGCAAGACCAAAGAGGGGGACCUUCGGGCCUCUUGCCAUCAGAUGUGC
rnacentral:rRNA from 1 species